rfam:Cavia porcellus supercont2_69 genomic scaffold, whole genome shotgun sequence.
GGGGAUUUAGCUCAGCGGCAUAAGCGCCUGCCUUGCAAUCAGGCAGUUGUGAGUUCAAUCCCCG